rnacentral:lncRNA from 1 species
GGAGGGAUGGUUAAUGAGAAUUGAAGUUUCAUUUAAAUUUUCUUUUCAAAAAUCUUUUCUUUCCGUGAAGAUGAAAGUGAAGAGUUUCCAGACAAGCUUAGCUGGAGUGCAUUCCACUUCUCUGAAGUUUAAGAAUGGCAAAGAAAAUAGUGAGACAGACAAAAGGAAUGCAGAAAUGGUACCACAAAGACAAAUGCUCCUAGAAGCCAAACAGAACAGGUAAGCACAUUAGGGCUGUCCUGGUUUUUGCAGAAUUCCUUUGAACCUCUAUUCCAUCUGGGUGUGCACAUUUUUGGAUGCUCAGAUUAUAUAAUUUGUUUUGUUUUCUGUUUUGCUGUUCUAGGCAAGGAAGAGGAAUUCAGACUCUUGGGGGGUCUUCUUGCUUCACUACAUGCCAAUCACCAAUUGCUUGAACUUCAUGGAGAAUUAGAAAGGUUUCUUCAUCCCAAUCAAUUCUGUGUCAUCAAUAAAUACGGUUAUAUUGAUAAAUAAGGUUAACCUGAAAGUCUAACAUUUUCUUUAAAUAUAUUU